UACGAAGGGGGCUAGCGUUGCUCGGAAUCACUGGGCGUAAAGCGCACGUAGGCGGAUUGUUAAGUCAGGGGUGAAAUCCUGGAGCUCAACUCCAGAACUGCCUUUGAUACUGGCGAUCUCGAGUCCGGGAGAGGUGAGUGGAACUGCGAGUGUAGAGGUGAAAUUCGUAGAUAUUGGGAAGAACACCAGUGGCGAAGGCGGCUCACUGGCCCGUGACUGACGCUGAGGUGCGAAAGCGUGGGGAGCAAACAGG
rnacentral:rRNA from 1 species